UACGGAGGGUGCAAGCGUUAUCCGGAAUCACUGGGCGUAAAGGGCGCGUAGGUGGUCUGUUAAGUCUGGCGUUAAAGCCUGGGGCUCAACCCCAGAUCAGCGUUGGAUACUGGCAGGCUAGACGGUUGGAGAGGCGAGUGGAAUUACCAGUGUAGCGGUGGAAUGCGUAGAUACUGGUAGGAACACCCAUUGCGAAGGCAGCUCGCUGGACAACACGUGACACUGAGGCGCGAAAGUGUGGGGAGCAAACCGGAUUAGAUACC
rnacentral:rRNA from 1 species